AUUGAACGCUGGCGGCAAGCCUAACACAUGCAAGUCGAACGAGUGGCGGACGGGUGAGUAAUGUCUGGGAAACUGCCUGAUGGAGGGGGAUAACUACUGGCAACGGUAGCUAAUACCGCAUACCAUCGGAUGUGCCCAGAUGGGAUUUGCUAGUAGGUGGGGUAAAGGCUCACCUAGGCGACGAUCCCUAUCUGGUCUGAGAGGAGGACAAGCCACACUGGAACUGAGACACGGGCCAGACUCCGACGGGAGGCAGCAGUGGGGAAUAUUGCACAAUGGGCGAAAGCCUGAUGCAGCCAUGCCGCGUGUAUGAAGAAGGCCUUCGGGUUGUAAAGUACUUUCAGCGGGGAGGCGUUACCCGCAGAAGAAGCACCGGCUAACUCCGUGCCAGCAGCCGCGGUAAUAC
rnacentral:rRNA from 1 species